UCUGUGGGACCCAAGCUGCCGUGGAAGAAGGGUGUCUGUGUUCUUCUCUCCGUCUGUCUCCGUGUGCGAGUCUGCGUUCCUUUCUCCGUCUGUCUCCGUGUGUGAGUCCGCGUUCCUUUCUCAGUCUGUCUCCGUGUGUGAGUCUGCGUUCAUCUGUCUUCAUGUGUGGGUCUGCGUUCCUCUCUCCGUCUGUCUCCGUGUGUGUUCUCAAGAUGUGGUCAUUAAGGGCGUCUUCUGCUGAUGGGUACUCGCUUGGUGGCUGUGUUGCUGUCUGCCCACCACAAGCUUUGCAGCUUGGUUGGUGUGGCCAAAGAGACGCUUCUUGCUUGGUGUUCCUGUGGUGCCUCCUGGUGUGCAGUUCAUCUGCUGCUGCUGCUCCUCCUCCUCCUCCUCCUAGCUGCUACUCUGCACCAAUUGCCAGCCAACCUUCUGUUAGACUUGGUGGUCCUACUUUGGGUUCCAAGCUGUGUGUGUUGUAAGAGAAGACUCUGCCUCCCUUAGUUGAAUAUGAAUAUUUGAGUUUUUUUUUUUAAUAAAUUUUUUUCUCUGGUCCAGUAUGGGUUUGUUUACGGCCAGUCUUUGA